CUGGCUCUCGGUGAGGAAGAUAGAGCAGGGCGCCCGAGGGGCACACGUUGGACGGCAAGGGCGUGUGGCUGUCCCAACCCUGGGAGCAGGGCUGCUCCUCAAGGCAGCAUGGCCUCACCUGCCCUUGCUGACAGGCCGGCUGACCCCUCUGACGCCUUCCAGCAGCGUUUCCAGUGCUUUUCUUUCUUCCCAGGAAGAUACUGGGCCAGCGCCAUCAGGGGUGGCUCAUCGGUCGUCGUGGUGGUCUCACGUGUCUCCUGUGCUUUUUGACGCCAGCUGGGACUUCCCGGUCACGGGUGGAAGCAACGGUUUCUCAGGAUUUCGCUACAAGGAUCGUCUCAGCCUUCUUGGACUGCCGUGCGGAACACCACACACCCAGCAGCUAAAAUAAUGACAUUGAGAUCCGGGUGCCAGCAGGACAAGCUCCAUGAGGGCCCCCCUCUGGGUUGCAGGCAGCUGCCUUCCCAGGGCGUCCUCCCCCGGCAGGUGGGCAUGGCAGGGCAGGGGGAGCUGGCACGCUCGGCUCUGUUGUCUCUUUUUUCUCACAGUGCGUGACUGUUUACCACCAUGGUCACCUGGAGCCUCUUAUUACAAGGGCGUGAAUUCCCUUCUCGUAAGGCCCCUCACGGCCUCAUCAAAACCUCAGUCACCUCCCAGAACCCCACUCCAGUCCCGUCACGCUGAGGCUCAGGGCCUGAACCCAUGAAUGCGAGGACACGAUCAGUCCACAGCAAGGCUGUGUCCCUGAGGAGCAGGGGCGGACCCUGGCCACACUCUGGCCAGGCAGCGGCCGGGAGAGGGGGCCCAUGCGGAAGGAACAGCCAGGCAGAGGCCGGGAGAGGGCGCCCAUGUGGAAGGAACGGACAGGCGCACUCAGAAGCGGUGGCGUCUGACGCCCUUUCACGAUGUUGUUUCGUUUUGUAAUUUUCUUAGACUUCCAAAUUCAUAGUGAAGUUGACCCAACAUGACAACAAACAGGAUUCGAGGGGUUUGGACAGAUGGGGGGAUCAUCGGUAUCCUGGGGCCGGCAGCCUCACACUGAUAGAUGGUUCUGGAACUGCCCACCGGCAGCCCCUCUGCCAUGGGUGGGUGCAGCGGGGGCUUCCCGGUUCAGUGGCUCCCCUGGCCGCGUAGACCCAGAGGUGCUUCCCUCUAGCGCACAGUGCUGCUGGCCCCGCUGUGGGCCCCCGGCCUCAACCCAGAGAGCUUCUCCAAAUCAGUGGCUGUGGCCCCACCGUCUCCCGAGCGCCAGGCAGGGAACCCCUUCUGCAUCCACCCUGGGGGCUGCCUGCUGGGCUCACUUUGCUCCUCCUGGAACCAGCGCACAACCCCUCACCGUAGACGCCCCUGUCCCCAUGUUGGUGUGGCGUCUGCCGCCAACUGACUCUGACAAACACACGGUUGAUGUUUCUGUGAAGUUUGGGAAAAUAAGAUCUUUUCACUGUACUGGGUCAAGACCUGUCCCUACUCGGCACGGCCCCCGUGUGCUUCCGGUAUCUCUGCGGGAGGAGGAGCGCCAAGCAGCCGGGAGCUACCUGUGGGGAAGGGAUGGCCCCCGUGCUGGGCUCACCCAUCUGACAUCAACAUGAAGGUAGGAGCCUGAUGGUGUCUCCGACGUGUCCUGCUGGCAUUGGGCAAUCCUGUUUGAAGAUUCCGGAUCUAGACACUGGGGUGUGGGACGGCUUCAGACAGGUAGAGGUAUGCGUGGAAAAUUCAGUUCUCAGCAGCUUCUAAUCAG